rnacentral:misc_RNA from 1 species
AUAGUUUAUACUCUUUCUGAUGCAUUUUCAUUAUUUCUAAAUAUAUGUUGUCCACUUUAUCAUGAGAAUUGAGAAAUAAAGAAAAUGCAUCAGAAAGAGUAUAAACUCUGUCUAUUUGAUGGAUUUCUUGUCAGUGAGAUAUUUCCCAAUAGUUUCUGCCAUAAGCUCAAAGUGCUUGAUGGAGACGAAAGAAGCGAGCUCAGGUUUGGUGUCAUCUAUCUCAUACUCUACCGUGGAUCUGAUAAUGCUUGAUUUAGCAUCCUUCUCAAUGAUCUCCAAGCGACAACGAAAAAUAUCAAAGCCAAGAUCUUUGUAACCUCCUUCUAUGAGUUCUGUUUCCUUCACACGAUUAUCAUCAUCAAUCUUUGUAAAUAUUUCCUUCAGGUAACCAAUUCCAGGAGUUCCAGGAGGAAAUGUAAGUUUGAUGAUAGUACCAACGCCUCCAUCGCCUUGUACAACCUCUACUUUGCCAAUAACGUCACCAAGAAGUUGAUCAACGAGCCUUCCCAGCUCAAGGCCACGAUAAGCAUCCCAUACGAUGGUGGCCGGAACUCCCACCGGAGUCUCCACUGAUUGUUGACCUCGCAUCCUAGUUUUUAU